rnacentral:rRNA from 1 species
AGUGAACGCUGGCGGUAGGCCUAACACAUGCAAGUCGAACGGCAGCACAGUAAGAGCUUGCUCUUACGGGUGGCGAGUGGCGGACGGGUGAGGAAUACAUCGGAAUCUACUUUUUCGUGGGGGAUAACGUAGGGAAACUUACGCUAAUACCGCAUACGACCUACGGGUGAAAGCAGGGGAUCUUCGGACCUUGCGCGAUUGAAUGAGCCGAUGUCGGAUUAGCUAGUUGGCGGGGUAAAGGCCCACCAAGGCGACGAUCCGUAGCUGGUCUGAGAGGAUGAUCAGCCACACUGGAACUGAGACACGGUCCAGACUCCUACGGGAGGGAGCAGUGGGGUAUAUUGGACAAUGGGCGCAAGCCUGAUCCAGCCAUACCGCGUGGGUGAAGAAGGCCUUCGGGUUGUAAAGCCCUUUUGUUGGGAAAGAAAAGCAGCAGGUUAAUACCCCGCUGUUCUGACGGUACCCAAAGAAUAAGCACCGGCUAACUUCGUG